rnacentral:rRNA from 1 species
UACGAAGGGGGCUAGCGUUGCUCGGAAUUACUGGGCGUAAAGCGCACGUAGGCGGCUUUCUAAGUCGGGGGUGAAAUCCUGGAGCUCAACUCCAGAACUGCCUUCGAUACUGGAAAGCUCGAGUCCGGGAGAGGUGAGUGGAACUGCGAGUGUAGAGGUGAAAUUCGUAGAUAUUCGCAAGAACACCAGUGGCGAAGGCGGCUCACUGGCCCGGUACUGACGCUGUAGCGCGCAAGCGUGGGGAGCGAACCGG